AGCAGCAGAGCGUUCACUCUCCUUUUCUCUUCGUGUUCCACAAUGUUCUGGGGCUUCAUGGAGUUGUACUGUAUGCGCUGCACCUCGGCAGAGAAACACCUGAGCUAUAGCAAAGCUGAAGCUGGGAUAAUGCACAGGCAGGGAGUCAAACCUGGAAUUUCUGCUCCAUGGGUGCACCAAUGGCUCAGCACAGCUCCCAGAGCCAUAUCAGUGACUUAGAGAGCCCACGGACAGUGCUGACAGUGACGUACCUUUCUGUCCCAUGACUUGGUGCUUCUGUAGGAGAGGUGGGUUGUAGGACCUGUGCUUUUAUUGCUCUCUGUUUUCUUCUUCCUGAUAGCUUCCAGCUUUUCAUUUUUCAGGCGCAUCUCCUCCAGCUGCUGCCUGCCACAGAACAGCACAGUCACUCACUGGCUCAGAGCCACAAUAGCAAAAGGCUGUGGGGCAGAUUUCAACCUGAGGACAUUUUCUGCAGGCCCAAGUUCUGUAUGAAUACCCAUAAUAGAAGUGGGCCAAGAGAGGGAAUGGGAAGCUUGUAAAGAGACUUUUAAAAAGA